rnacentral:misc_RNA from 1 species
GAGGCUGAAUGAACAGUCUUGGCGGGAACUCAUGGAAAUACUUUUUGCCAUCACAAUUUUUCGGCAGGAUUUCUCUGUUACCUUUCUUGCAAUGGUAACUGCACUCUUGCUUAUCAAGGGUUUGCACUGGUUGGCUCAAAAGAGAGUUGAGUACAUUGAAACAACUCCUACUGUUACUAGAUUGUCCCACAUUCGCAUAGUAUCCUUCCUGGGCUUUCUCCUAUUCAUAGACAGUCUCUUUUUGUACGACUCGAUGAACU